rnacentral:rRNA from 1 species
AGAGUUUGAUCAUGGCUCAGAAUCAACGCUGGCGGCGUGCCUAACACAUGCAAGUCGAGCGCGAACGGGGACUUCGGUUCCUUAGUAGAGCGGCGAACGGGUGAGUAACACGUGGGUAAUCUGCCUCCGGGUGGGGAAUAACUCAGGGAAACUUGAGCUAAUUCCGCAUAACGUGGCCGAUCACAAGAUCGGCUACCAAAGCUGGGGACCCUUCGGGGCCUGGCGCCUGGAGAGGAGCCCGCGGCCAAUUAGCUUGUUGGUGAGGUAAUGGCUCACCAAGGCUCCGAUUGGUAGCCGGCCUGAGAGGGCGGACGGUCACACUGGAACUGAGACACGGUCCAGACUCCUACGGGAGGCAGCAGUGAGGAAUUUUCGUCAAUGGGGGAAACCCUGAACGAGCAACGCCGCGUGGAGGACGAAGACCUUCGGGUUGUAAACUCCUGUCGGACGGGACGAAUGUUGUCGAGGCUAAUACCCUUGGCAGUUGACGGUACCGUACGAGGAAGCCCCGGCUAACUUCGUGCCAGCAGCCGCGGUAAUACGAGGGGGGCAAGCGUUGUUCGGAAUUACUGGGCGUAAAGGGCGCGUAGGCGGUCUGACAAGUCUUCCGUGAAAGCCCACGGCUCAACCGUGGAACUGCGGGGGAAACUGACAGACUUGAGUCCGGGAGGGGAGAGUGGAAUUCCCAGUGUAGCGGUGAAAUGCGCAGAUAUUGGGAGGAACACCGGAGGCGAAGGCGUCUCUCUGGACCGGUAUUGACGCUGAGGCGCGAAAGCCAGGGGAGCGAACGGGAUUAGAUACCCCGGUAGUCCUGGCCGUAAACGAUGAGCACUGGAUGUGGCGGGUAUUGACCCCUGCCGUGUCGGCGCUAACGCAUUAAGUGCUCCGCCUGGGGAGUACGGUCGCAAGGCUGAACUCAAAGGAAUUUGACGGGG